rnacentral:rRNA from 1 species
CCUACGGGUGGCUGCAGUAGGGAAUUUUCGGCAAUGGGGGGAACCCUGACCGAGCAACGCCGCGUGAACGAAGAAGUUAUUCGUAAUGUAAAGUUCUUUUAACAGGGAAGAAAGAGAAAUUUGACGGUACCAGAAGAAUAAGCUCCGGCUAACUACGUGCCAGCAGCCGCGGUCAUACGUAGGGAGCGAGCGUUAUCGGGAAUUAUUGGGCGUAAAGGGUGCGUAGAUGGCAUAGUAAGUCUUUGGUAAAAAUGCUGGGCUCAACCGAGUAGGGCAAAAGAUACUGGAAAGCGAGAGUAUGACAGAGGCAAGUGGAACUACAGGUGUAGCGGUAAAAUGCGUAAAUAUAUGGAAGAACACCAGUGGCGAAAGCGGCUCGCUGGUCUGUAACUGACGCUGAGGUUCGAAAGCGUGGGUAGCAAACAGGAUUAGAUACCCCAGUAGUC